CGAGAUGCAUCUGACAACCUGCAAGGCACCACACACACAGGGCUUCAGCGGUCCAUUGAGGGGCUCUACCUCAGUGUGAGGCAGCGGAAGCUAAAUCUGUACCGCCAGAAUGACAGCAACAAGCUUCGCCACCGGCUUCGGAGGAAGCUGGCAGAAGAGAAAAAGCUCCUUUUUCAGGAGAUACAAAAGCACAACAAGCUUGACUCUGCAGCCAACAUCGAUGCAGCUGUGGUGGAGCACUCCCUGAGUGGAGAGAGCACUGUGUCCCCAAUAUGGCCUUGGGAGGUUCAUGACAGCGCAAACAUUGGAACCAAGAAACGGCUUCAUGACCAAGUCAUGACAACAAAGCGACUGCAGGAGGAAAAAAACAUUCUGGUGAUGGAGAUGGCACAACACUGCACAUGGUUGCAGAACCUGGCAUUGGUUCUCAAAAACAAGGUGGCUGAGUCGGGUGGAGAGUCUGGAGACAAAGGAGCUGAAGGACUUUGCAGUCUCUUGAGGAGAAGAAACACAGAGGUGUCAGAGGGGUUGCAAGUGGUCCUGCAAAAAUACAAGACUGCUUUAGGUCCUGAGGCCUCUGUCAUUCAAAAUAUUGAAGAGGAAGACCAAAGUGUCCACAGCAGUCCAGACACCAGUGAGGAUGAAGAGGAAAGCAUAAUUUAGAUUGAAGCUGCACUGAGGAUGGACUAAGGAAAUGGACUUGCCUAGAAAGCACUAAUGUGAUAAAACAUGCAUUCGGGCGUCUUAUAUUAUUUCACACGCAUAGAUAUUAACUUGGCACUAUGGGGGAGGGAACCAAGGAAGGCAGGCUUUCCUAUGAUUGGCCGUUCUGAAGCGCGAUAUUUGAUUGACAGCCCGAAUUCAGCCAAGGGUUUCUUACUUGAAGGGACCUUCGCCCAGACGUGAUUGUCUUCUGAGUUUCAGCCAUUGACUACAAUACAGAAUGAAUGAGAGGAGGGCUGAGGAAGGCUCUCAAUCAAAUAUCGUGCUUCAGAAACAGCCAAUCACAGGAAAGCACGCCCUGCCUUGAUUCCCUCCCACAUAGUGCCAAAAUUAAAUUUGAGCGAGAGAGCAUAACAUCAUUCGCGAGAGGCUGUUUUGUAUGACCAAAGUUAUUCCCCCCUCUCGCUUGCAACGAGGUAAUGCUCUCGAGGAUCUUUUUUCCUGGCUCGGGGAGCUGCGCUCUGAGUGCGGACGUGCGCACAGAUAAUUUGGGCGCUCGCAGUUAACCUCUACGUGUAUGAAAUAAUAUAAUACGCCCGAAUGCAUGUUUUAUCCCAUUAGUGCUUUAUGGCACUAAUGUGUCGCCAUACUCAACCGCUUAUCCUGGCAACUUCACACCUGACACUGCACCCUUGGGUCUUCUGCAAUACACCCACCAAGUGUAAAAUAAAUCAGAUGAACACUACUAACUGCUUCCUGUCAACUGACAGCAGUCAGCUUAACGUCAUUACAUCGCUGUAGCACGUGAACAUUCAUUGGUGCCAUACUUGACAGCUCUCCACACAGUUACAUAGCAUUGUGGUGAAUGUUCAGACCACUGUUUCAUCUCCCCUUCCAGCGUCACAGAUUAUCAAUCUUGGUGAUGGAGGCACUAGCAUUUUGGUGUGUUAUUUAGUUAAUGUGUGUAAAAGAUGACCUCCUCAAAUGUCUUGUUUUGUUCGGAAUUCAAAGAUAUUCAGUUGACAGAAUAUAUAGAAGUAUAAAGAAACCAGAAAAUAUUACAUUUGAGAAUCUGGAAUCUGAUCAUUUUGAAUUUUUUUAUUUUUCAAAAAAUGAAAAAGUGAUUAAUCGUUCAUCCAAACAGUUGGUUAUUAAUUAAAAUCAAAUAGUUGCAUGUCAUGUAAAAUGUAAAUCAAGGAGAACGACCAUUUUGAUUGAUAGGGUGGCGUGACUAAGUAUGUAUACAUAUAAUAUGUAUGUAAUAUGCAUUAGACUGUAUGUAACAAAGAGACAGUUGUAUAGUUAAUAUAGGUACGUACAGUAUAACUGGAUUACAUGUUCUGUUGUCAGUGCUUAUGUAAAGCUAACCCUACAGUCCAUUUUUAAGAAAUACAGCCCAAAUUGUUUGUGUGUUGGACAGAUCCAUUUGGUGCAUUUUCUCCAGUAUUGUUGCAAAAGAUGAAUACAUUAUUGCCAAAAAUGACAAUUUUUUGUUUUACUUUUCCAUCAUGUUUAGAAACAUCAUGUGACAGUUUUGUGUUUUAUAAAAAAAGAUGGCCUAUCAAGAGAAAAUAUGGGAAACAAACAUAAACAAUGCAUAAUUAAUUAUAUUUUGAAUUGAGUUAAAUUUAACAUCACAUACAUUAUUAUUUAUGUGGAUUACAUCAAUUAACUGAUCUCCUUGUGAUAUAUUUCACCCAAAUCAUCUAUAUGCAGUAUAAUGUAGCCUAUGUUUUACUUGUAGAUUUUUGAUUCAGUAAAGAUUCAUUUUCCUAAACUUA